rnacentral:rRNA from 1 species
UACGUAGGGUGCGAGCGUUAAUCGGAAUUACUGGGCGUAAAGCGUGCGCAGGCGGUGAUGUAAGACAGAUGUGAAAUCCCCGGGCUCAACCUGGGAACUGCAUUUGUGACUGCAUCGCUGGAGUGCGGCAGAGGGGGAUGGAAUUCCGCGUGUAGCAGUGAAAUGCGUAGAGAUCGGAAAGAACACCAACGGCGAAAGCACUCUGCUGGGCCGACACUGACACUGAGAGACGAAAGCUAGGGGAGCGAAUGGG